rnacentral:rRNA from 1 species
AACGAACGCUGGCGGCAUGCCUAACACAUGCAAGUCGAACGAGACCUUCGGGUCUAGUGGCGCACGGGUGCUUAACGCGUGGGAACCUGCCCUUAGGUUCGGAAUACCUCCCCGAAAGGGGUGCUAAUACCGGAUAAUGUCUUCGGACCAAGGAUUUAUCGCCUUUGGAUGGGCCCGCGUUGGAUUAGCUAGUUGGUAGGGUAAAAGCCUACCAAGGCGACGAUCCAUAGCUGGUCUGAGAGGAUGAUAAGCCACACUGGGAAUGAGACACGGCCCAGACUCCUACGGGAGGCAGCAGUGGGGAAUAUUGGACAAGGGGCGAAAGCCUGAUCCAGCAAUGCCGCGUGAGUGAUGAAGGCCUUAGGGUUGUAAAGCUCUUUUACCCGGGAUGAUAAUGACAGUACCGGGAGAAUAAGCUCCGGCUAACUCCGUG